rnacentral:rRNA from 1 species
UACAGAGGGUGCUAGCGUUAAUCGGAUUUACUGGGCGUAAAGCGUGCGUAGGCGGUUUGAUAAGUCGGUUGUGAAAGCCCCGGGCUCAACCUGGGAAUUGCGGCCGAUACUGUCAGACUAGAAAACGGUAGAGGGAGGCGGAACUCCAGGUGUAGCGGUGAAAUGCGUAGAUAUCUGGAAGAACACCGAUGGCGAAGGCAACCUCCUGGGCCUGUUUUGACGCUGAGGCACGAAAGCGUGGGUAGCAAACAGG